UGCAUUGCGUUUAAAUGGAGGAGGAUAAACGAAAUCUAUUCUGAGGUCUUUUUCUUUGAUGUUUGCUCUGUGCCAACUCAAAGAAUAUUUCAGAAAUUGUAAUUUCUUAACUGUCCUGCAUUACCUGAUAAUGUCGUUCUCAUUUUUUGGCCAAAAGAAAGUGUAUUUCUAUGCUCAAGGCAACAGAUGAGCUGUGGCAGGGGUGAGAUUACACAACGGAGUGGCAUUUUCACCAGCUUAAAAUUGGAGUAAACCCAUUUAAUUUUGUAGUUGUCUUGGUCCUGAUAGAAACCGCCAGGCAGCCAGCAGAACUGGGAGACAAAGUCUUCUACAGCUCUCCAUGGGCUUCUGGCAUGAUGUUGGACAGGUUGGUUAAUGUUUUUCUGUUUUCCUCAUCUGAAAGGCAGCUAACACCGCUGCCUGCAUCCAAAAGGCACGUGGAGGUAAGACAGACAUGAUUUUCCAGAACACCCAGGCUUGUGAGAGUCAGUUAGCAGGAAGAGCUUGUGCGAUGAGGACCCUCACAGGGACACCAAACAUGCCAGGCCUUAACGUCAUGCAAACUAUGGUAGGGCUCUGCUCCGUGAGGCGGUCCAGCAGCCUUUGGUUGUCCAUAGCAACCUGCAGGCAUUCAAACAGCAGCGUGCAAAUGUGUGUGGGUUGGAAACGCUGCUGCGGGAGGCCACUGGGAAAAGGCUCUGCUUUGUGCUUGCUGCUGACGCUCUCCUCAUUGCUCUUAACCACCCCGAGCAAUUCACUGCUUUUGCCAGUACUCUUGCCAGCCUGCUGGUCAUUGUCUCAAGGCUGUAUGGGUAUGGGCAGUGGGAAACAGGCACAGAGGCAGAGCACGCAAGGGUGCACCCAGCCUGCAGAGAUUUCAGCAGUGCAGUGGUGCCCAUCACGGAUCUGGUGGGAGGCAGGGCCUGGUCCCAGCUGCCCAAAGCAGCAACGUGGCUCUGCUUAACACGCUGGGCCACAUGUUGGGCCCCAGGCCCUGAUGUAAUUGGUCUUGGGUGUCCUCCAAAACAGGAUAAAUUUCGAAAGGCCCAAGGCUGACCUUGGGAGGAUAUAGGUGGGGCUGUGGGCUCCAGGCAGUGUCAUCUUGGCACUCCUCUGGCUCCAGUGACCAGCUUGUGUAUUUGAGGCUUGACAGUGCAAACAGGGAGACUUACAGUCUGACAGCUUCGGUUCUUUAAUCCCUUUUUGUACCAGUAAUCCUUUUUCUGUGAGCAGUCCCUACUCAUACAAGUAGUACUCUCAGCAUCAGCAGAGGAUCUUUGACCUGCCUGUAUUUAAUGUAAACUAGGAUUACUUUUGGCAUCUGUGGAAUCCUACAAAAACGAAAAGAAGCCAAGCAUGGUCUGGGAUUUUGUGGACCCAGGAGGUCAAGAUGCAGUUUACAUUCACUGUUGGCAGUUUCAGGGAUUGCCAGCACAGGCCUAGAAGAUGAACUUCCCUUUUGGCUGCAGAAUAAACACAGGGUGGGGGGUAAACAGCAAAGGAUUUACUGAAGCAGUAGGUGAAAGGGAGGAGGGCUGCUUUGUAAGCCACGGAGUCAGAGGAUGUCCUGAGGUAUCCGAUGUCUGAUGUUUCCAGGUAGCAGGCGCUGGUUACUGGAGUGCUUUAAGAGUCAAAAGAGAAAGCCUCAAACAGGGAAAGCUAGCACACAAAGAACCACUCCUGCAGUUUUUUCAGUUUUGUGUGCCUAUGGCCGUUGCUGAUUUUGAUGCCAUGGUGGUUUAGCAGCUUUGUGCUAAUUCACAUGGCAAGUGCUUCCUGGAGCUGGUUAAGGGCAGAGGUGCACAUCUCUGUGCUGCCACGGCACCAGUGGGAUGUGAGAGGCCUGCAUCUGCAGCCUGUGCCAGGGCUGGGAAACUGCCCUCUGUGUGCCCACAUCGUGUAAUUACUAGCUGAAGUACUUGGCUGGCGAUUAGCGACCAGUUCUUUAUGACAAGAUAUUUCCCCGAGCAAAAUUAACCCUUUGGAUGCUAGCUUCAGCUGUGCACUGUGCCAUGCAGCACAGCUGUACAUAGCAGUAGAACCAGUUCUGGGGGGCUUUUAUAUUGAAAAAAGCAAGUGUUUUGCAUUAGCUACCACUGCCACUUUUCCAGAUGCUUGGGGCACCAUUAACUCUGGUGUUAUGCUUAUCGCCGAUGGAGUGAGGGGAAUGGUGGUCCACAGAAAGCUACCUGCUCUGCCAUUUACAACCCCAGGAAAUCAGAGUGUUGAUCAAAGCAGUGCUCUGGGUGCCUCGCAUGUCUCUGCUUAAGUGUUGGGAAACUGGUACCUGAUGAGCUCAAACCUGCUCAUGAGUCUGACUGUAAUGACAGGCCGGAGUGUUGGUGUGACACAGGCUCCACGUGAGCUCUCCACAUCCUUUCCUGGCACAUCACUAGGCUGUGAACAGACAAUAUCUACUGCUAAUUAUGUGUUGCUCUGCACACUGCUAAUUAAGGAAAGCUGCAAAGCUGAGAUGGGGUAGCAACCAUCAAAUCUGGUUUGUUUCUGGGGGUUUGAAGUGGCUUGCUUAAAGAUAAGAUGCAGAGAAGGGUGUUUUCCUUCCAGUCUUUUGCCGAAAGGGAAGCAAUGUUGGAUGGGGGUGGGAAGAAGCAUCCAGACUCGCUAUGCAAGGUCCAGGAAGGUGCCUCUUCCAGCCUGGAGCUCAGAGACUAGCUGGGAUCCAGAACAGCUGGGUGCAGCAAGGAAGGUUCAGUGGGGCUCACUGCCUCAUCUCAGACCUUGAUUUUCUCACAAACUUGGUGGCAGAAUAUUGAACGUAUUGAUUGUACGGAUUGACAGAGAUCCCAGUGAAUGUGGGGAUAUUCUCAAUGCAUGUCAUCAUAUAUCUUUUCUCAUGUGACUUUUUGUGAUGCUCAGGCUCUGACUGACUUACGGGUUUAUUGGAGCGUGUUAUUGUGUUUUUGUGUGUUAUUGGCUUUCUUCUCUGAAUUCGGAAUUACAGCAACUAAAGAUCAGUCAGAAGAGAGUGAUGACUAAAUGAGUGCGUGGAUGAGAGGAUGAUGUGCCUUCUAAUGAUCAUACAGGAAGUAAAUAAACUGGACGAUCUGGAUACUUCCCAUGGACACAUCUAUAUGUCAGGUAAAUAGAAACCUAAAUUCCUCUGGAAUUUCCUCAGAGAAAUCAUGACCCCUCUGACCAAACACGGUGUGCUCAAGGUGUCAGAGGUAAGGUAACGUCAGAGGUAAGGUUGGCGAAAGGCAGCAUUUUGGGGCUUCUGUGUACUGUAGAACGCUGUGCACCAGCUCUUGCUGGCAGAUUUUUUGCAGGAAGGCCUACUCUGGGACUCCAGCAGCACUGAAUACUGAUCAACUGAAAGAAAAGGCUGUGUGUGUGGGGAGGAAGGUUGGACCAAUUUCUCUGCUGGCAUAACUCCAGAGGGUGAAAUCAUAGCCCUAUUGAGACGCAUAGGAUUUUUGCUAGAUAUGAGAUUGCUGAGAAAUCUUUUAAUAACUUAACGCUGAUUUUGUUUUGGAUUAAAAGCUCCCUAUAACCUUAGCUUACAAAUGCUCAAAUCUUGCACACAGAAUUGAAAUCUUCAGGAAGCAAACGAGCUUGAAAAUGAAUUUAGAUGCAUCAGUGGAACCGCUGCAGGAGAAAUCCAUUGAAUCCAUUGAAGGGCUGAAUUUGGUAAUUGUGGUCACCUUCACAGCAAAUAGGAAUCAUUCAAUCACUGCUGUAUAACAUCAAAGUCACUCUCAUGGACUGACUACUGGAAUGUUGAUUAAAAAAAUAUGAGAAAGAUUUUAAAUGUUUCUUUGUGAGAGAGAGCAAAAGUGUUCAUAAGUGGAGAAAGAGACAUCUUAACGCUUUCUUAAAACAGACCUGGAAAAAUCAUGUAUGUCCCUGACAAUUAAAGAGAAGAUGGCCAGUUCUGUCUUCCCAACUCAGUCCCGGACACUUACUGAUACAGUGGAAGUUUGUGACCUUGUCUUCUUACUCCUCGUGUCAAGCUUUGUGUUGCUUUAUGCACUUGGCAGACAGGAAAACUCUUCACAGAAAUCACAGAAUUUUAAGUCAACUUUUGAGAUGACCGAGUCCAACUGCUCCCAGGCGAGGUGAGCUACAGCAGGUUGCCAAGGACCAUGCCUACUUGGUUUUGAAUAUAUAUUUCCAUGAAUGGAAACUCAACAUCCUCUCGGGGCAACUUGUUCCAGUUUUUUGACCACCUUCACAGAAAAUUAAAGAAGAAAUCUCAAAUGUCUGUUUGAGCUUCUUGUCCUGUCUUUGGGCACUACUGAAAAAAGCCUGCCUGCCUUCUUCCUGCUGUCUUCACUUGAUUUCAUACUUGUUGGGAUGGAUCUUUCUUAAGCAUGGAAGUGAUCCGUGAAUGCCAACCAGCAACUCUGUACCUUUUCUCCCCAUGACUGUAUUACAAGCGGAUCUUUGAAGAGGCCAAAGCUCGUUCUUCUGAAACCAAGGUUGCGGUCCUGCCUUUCACUCUGCUCCCUCCCUCAGAACCCUGAACUCAGUCAUCUCACGGUCACUGCCACCAAGGCUGACCCCACCUUCGCAUUCCCGAUCAGUUCUUCUUCCUUGUUUUUAAGAAUCAUGUCCAGGACAGGACCUUUUGCCAUUAGCUCCUUGACCUGUGCCACGAAGAUGUCAUUGGUGCACUCUUGAACCCUCCAGAUUGCUUGAGCACUGUUGUAUCCAAGGUUCAGAUGUGAGGGUGGUUGAAGUCCCUCACGACAACUAGGGCCUGCAAAUGGGAGGCUUCUUCCAGUUGUUUGAAGACUUCAGUGUGGGCACAGCUCUGUAAUUGCACGCAGACUUCCA